CUUUGGGAUAACCCUCGGAAACGGGGGCUAAUACUGGAUAUGACUUCUCACUGCAUGGUGGGGGGUGGAAAGAUUUUUCGGCCUGGGAUAGGCUCGCGGCCUAUCAGCUUGUUGGUGGGGUGAUGGCCUACCAAGGCGGUGACGGGUAGCCGGCCUGAGAGGGCGACCGGCCACACUGGGACUGAGACACGGCCCAGACUCCUACGGGAGGCAGCAGUGGGGAAUAUUGCACAAUGGGCGGAAGCCUGAUGCAGCGACGCCGCGUGAGGGAUGACGGCCUUCGGGUUGUAAACCUCUUUCAGCUCCGACGAAGCGUGAGUGACGGUAGGAGCAGAAGAAGCGCCGGCCAACUACGUGCCAGCAGCCGCGGUAAGACGUAGGGCGCGAGCGUUGUCCGGAUUUAUUGGGCGUAAAGAGCUCGUAGGCGGCUUGUUGCGUCGACUGUGAAAACCCGCGGCUCAACUGCGGGCCUGCAGUCGAUACGGGCAGGCUGGAGUUCGGUAGGGGAGACUGGAAUUCCUGGUGUAGCGGUGAAAUGCGCAGAUAUCAGGAGGAACACCGGUGGCGAAGGCGGGUCUCUGGGCCGAUACUGACGCUGAGGAGCGAAAGCGUGGGGAGCGAACAGGAUUAGAUACCCUGGUAGUCCACGCUGUAAACGUUGGGCGC
rnacentral:rRNA from 1 species